rnacentral:lncRNA from 1 species
AGAUUCUGAUCAUGUAACACAAUUUCCUUAAAUUUCCUUUUUAUGGAGUUACACUAAGCUCCUUCUGAGUGAGGUAAUCCGCUGAAAACAACCUCAGUCAUGUUCAGUGCCUCCAAACCUAGAGUGAGUUGGUUUAGUUGUUCAAUCGAAUCAUCCUCUUUAGGAGUUAGUUGCUCCUCGAUGAGAGUUGUCACCCACAUUUUAUGGGGACCUUCCUCGAUGCACAUAUAAAUGUGU